CCGCCCCCUCACUGGGAUUGUGCCCUGGGCCCGCGAGGCUGAGCGGUCAGUGGAGCGUUCUUCCGCCUUCUAGUCUUCCCAGCAACCCGUGACGCGGUACGUGUGCGGCCCACCACUGGCCAACCCGGGAGAGCGGGGACUGCAUCGUGAUCCCCCUAUCCCGACGCACCUCCCUGCUCCCCCAACUCGGCGGCCGCGCGCUCCGCCGGCCCCUUUCCUCCCCCGCCCCAGCCCCGCAGUCCGGGAGGCGGGGGUCGGCGAGUCCGCUAAGUGGGAGCCGUGCGGUGUCCGAGGAGCCAGUCGGCGACCGGGCACAGCACAUCCUGCUCCAGAGACACCAGAAGAGAAGACCCUACACGGUCUACUCCUGCCCAAUGCAGAGGGGAGCAGAAAUUCCAGAGCCCACCCCUGCAGCAACUAUAGCUAAUCUCCAGUAUCCCACUGAAUUGAGCUGGGGACAGAUCCAUGGGCUUUGAGGGAAGCAGUCAGUGAUGAGGCCAGCCAGGUGAGGAGGACAGCCCCAUUUGUGCUCUAACUAGAGGGCACAGGAGGUUCUGUGCACAAAGGCUGACCCUGCUCCCAGACACUGCCUAGACCAACUUGUCAGAAGGACUCAGGGAUACCAUUUGAGAUAAAGGGGAUAGCAGAGCAGACUCUGUCCCCAUAAUAGGGCUUCUCUGCUACUCCAGGUUCUCAGACCCCUGGAGCUAGGGCAGUGAAGAAAGUCUGCAGAAUGUUUCCAAACAACUUGGAUGCUCUGAGAAUUAGAAAGGAUUCCCCUUCCUUCUCACCAGCCUUCCCUGAAAAUGUGAAAAGGACUUCUUGGAUAAUACCAUUA